rnacentral:misc_RNA from 1 species
UCACUACUUACGUAGGCAGUCUCUUUAGAGUGCCCAACUAAAUGCUGGCAACUAAAGACAAGGGUUGCGCUCGUUAUGGGACUUAACCCGACAUCUCACGACACGAGCUGACGACAGCCAUGCAGCACCUGAUACCAGUGUCCCGAAGGCCUACGAUAUCUCUACCGUAUUCACUAGCACUUCAAACCCAGGUAAGGUUUUUCGCGUUGCAUCGAAUUGAACCACAUGCUCCACCGCUUGUGCGGGCCCCCGUCAAUUUCUUUGAGUUUUAAUCUUGCGACCGUACUUCCCAGGCGGAUCACUUAACGCGUUAGCUUCGGCACUGCAGGGGUCAAUACCUGCAACACCAAGUGAUCAUCGUUUACGGCGUGGACUAC